UACGUAGGGGGCAAGCGUUGUCCGGAUUUAUUGGGCGUAAAGAGCUCGUAGGCGGCUUGGCAAGUCGGGUGUGAAAACUUCAGGCUCAACCUGGAGCGGCCACUCGAUACUGCUAUGGCUUGAGUCCGGUAGGGGACCACGGAAUUCCUGGUGUAGCGGUGAAAUGCGCAGAUAUCAGGAGGAGCACCAGUGGCGAAGGCGGUGGUCUGGGCCGGAACUGACGCUGAGGAGCGAAAGCGUGGGUAGCAAACAGG
rnacentral:rRNA from 1 species